rnacentral:tRNA from 1 species
UUAAUAAUUAAGAUUUGUAAUUAAUAAAAAAAAUAAUAUUUAUUUUGCAAAUAAAAAUAGCCUAAGCCAAAUCUU